ensembl:lncRNA
AAUACAAGUGUAUUCAUUUGUUGUCUGUAAUUUUGGCUGCUCAUUAAGGAUCCAAGAGCAUUUGGUGCAGAAAACCGGACCCUCCUCCUCCACACGGUUACUGUAAAUGAUUUAAAUCAAUCCCUUUUAUGCAGCAUCGGGUACAGGAAGCACAAUAUGUAGUGACUAAAUAUGCCAUUUAAAUUCUUCUCAGGCAAAGGUUAAAAGAGAGGUGGGCCAGGGGGGGUGUGGAAAGCUGAGAUUGGCAAGGUAGCUGGAUUCACAUAUUUUUGAUAGGUUUCUAAGAUACAUGUCUCUUUUUCCAAAGCAAAUGCAUUCAUGCCUGAGAAAGAAAACAAACAGGGAAAAUGUUAGCUCUUAACGCUAGUGAGCUCAUGAGAAAUGCCAAAAGAGUUGUUUGUGCCCAGCCACAAAUAUCAGGGUUUCUUUAUUGUUGAGCUUUGAUGCUCGGCAUCGGGCGGAACGUUUCCAUGACAACUAAUAGAUGUUAUGUUUAUUUACUGACUGGCAGGGAAUGACAGUGUCAGCAACUGACAUUUUAGUUUCUUUCUCUUCUUUUUCUCCCCUGUAAAGAUUUGUUUUAGUCGAUGAAAACGGCAACGGCAUCUUCCAUUUUAUUUGUCAGAGCUUCCAAGGCACAAGUAAACAGCCGUUUAAUUUGAUUCAGUUAUGCCAUGCAACAUCCUUUAUAGGUCCGUUGCCUUCUGGGCUUGGGAGAGUACUUCGCAGUGGACAGUAGCUGGUGAGAUGAUUUGCAAAGUGAAAAGCACAUUUCAGGUUUUAUUCACUUGAAAACGAUCUAACAACCGCACUCCGAGCUGUCUAAAUUCACAUAGGUCUCAUCAACGUUCCCGACAUUGCCCAUGAGCCUGUGGACGGAUAGGUGCCUGCCAAGGGUCGGGAAGACUGUUUCUGCUCUAUUCCAUCCCCGCUCAUCUGUGAAAAUGGCAGCAAACACUUCCUUAUGAGAAUGUGGUGAAAAUGGAUUAUGUGGUUGGUGCAUUUGGAAUUCCGCAAAGGAAAUGGGCUGCAAAUCCAGAUCUCAUCACAGGGAGACCAGAGAGACAGCAGUUCAGCAGAGUCAGCUGAGAUGACUGUUUAUCACAUGCUGAGAGGACUGUCAGUUUGGCCAGAGCCACCAACAGACCAUUCACCUUUAAACCUGAGAAGUCAUCAACCCUGCUGGAAAUGAUCAUUUCAGGAAAGCAUGAAAGGCUCCUCUGGGGUCUGAGAUGAGACCUGAAAUGGAAAUACUAGAAAAGACAAGAAGAUGACCCCACCUAAACCUGACAAGAGUUGUCCGACUUCCAGGCUGUCAGAAGAGCUCUUAAGGGUUAUCAACUUUGGGGUGCUAUACAAACAUAAGCAUUUUUCGCUCCCAGUUUCAUUGUUUGUCACUCUGAAAAGGUAUGUCCAUCUCAACAAGGUUUGGGACACUUGACAGAAUGUGGAAACCCAUUAUCAGCUGAGGCCCCCGUGCCCUUUGAUAUCCAGGUAUGAUGGGUUGGGAACUCUAUUCCACACUCCAUGGUCAGUCAAGGAUUUCCUUUUACAUUUCUAUGAAUUCUAAAGAGUUAGGGGAUAAUUAUUUUGGAUUUGAGGGCUUCUUCACCUAAUUAUUCAGUUAUGUGCAUCCAUAUAUGUGACCGUGUUGACCUAGAUGUACAACCGAGCCAUUCCUUAAUCCAUAACAAUCUGCUCUCACAGGCAAAUUUGUGAGCAGCAGACACAUCAAAAGUCUUGAGGAGGCCAAAGUGGGGUUUCACUGGAGCAGGUAACUGUGUCCAACUAAUUAUUAGGUAGCCUCCUUCUAAUCAUUUUGCCCUCCUUCACGGACCCUUGUCUUCCACCACCACCCACCCCCCAAGGCAUUUUUUCAGGACUUCUUUAUUCCAUAUACUGCCUACAGCCUCACAUUAUCUUAUAAGCCUCUGUGCCUUUCCACACUCAGGAAACCUACCCAUUUUUCUCUCCCUCUAUUAAUCAGAGCAGUUCCAUUCUCUUUGACCCUUAUCGCCCAACUCAGCUCUGGUUCUCACCUUGGCAAAUCCAAAUCACACCCAAUAUUCAAUGGGGGAAGAAAAA